GUGUCAGCAGCCGCGGUAAUACGGAGGGGGCGAGCGUUGUUCGGAAUUACUGGGCGUAAAGGGCGCGUAGGCGGUUUGUCGCGUCAGGUGUGAAAGCCCCGGGCUCAACCUGGGAUGUGCAUCUGAUACGGGCAGACUUGAGAGCGGGAGAGGAGUGUGGAAUUCCCAGUGUAGAGGUGAAAUUCGUAGAUAUUGGGAAGAACACCAGUGGCGAAGGCGGCACUCUGGCCCGUUUCUGACGCGGGGGCGCGAAAGCGUGGGGAGCAAACAGGAUUAGAUACCCUGGUAGUCCACGCCGUAAACGAUGUGCGCUAGCCGUCGGGCAGCUUGCUGUUCGGUGGCGCAAGCUAACGCGUUAAGCGCACCGCCUGGGGAGUACGGCCGUAAGGUUAAAACUCAAAGGAAUUGACGGGG
rnacentral:rRNA from 1 species